GAGAAGAUGCACCUUGAGCUGCUUUUACGAUAACGGAACCACUUGACUCUGACCCUGUCCUUUACGUGUCUUUUGCACGGCCGGACGGCACGGAGCUCUGGUGCCCCGACUACAUAUCGAACUGCAAACUGAAGUUGUGCAAAGGCACCAAGAUAGACGAGAAACAGCUCAGUCGCGAAUGGCACAACAAAUGUCCCAUUCAGCCUGGUGACUACACCGCUCACGUAUCUGUGCGCCUGCUAGACAUCCAAAGUUCUGAGGAGUUCAUUGGGGACGGAAACGUCGUGGUCACGUUCAACAUCGAGAAUGGCGGGGAAACUGUCGAUUGCGUGUGUUUCACUGCUUAUGUGGAAGAAUAAACGAUCCUGUGGUGC
rnacentral:lncRNA from 1 species